AUACAGAGGGUGCGAGCGUUAAUCGGAAUUACUGGGCGUAAAGCGCGCGUAGGCGGCUACUUAAGUCAGAUGUGAAAUCCCCGGGCUCAACCUGGGAACUGCAUCUGAUACUGGAUAGCUAGAGUUUAGGAGAGGGAAGUAGAAUUUCAGGUGUAGCGGUGAAAUGCAUAGAGAUCUGAAGGAAUACCAGUGGCGAAGGCGGCUUCCUGGCCUAAAACUGACGCUGAGGUGCGAAAGCGUGGGUAGCAAACGGGAUUAGAAACCCUAGUAGUCC
rnacentral:rRNA from 1 species